CACCAUUAGUAUUAAUAAUUAAAUGAAUAUAUAAUUUGAUAUGUUACCUACAACAGUUAAAGAUGUAAUCUUUGGUUCGACCAGGUACUGGAGAUGCAGCAUCCAAUUUUUGGAUGCAGAUGAGGGAGGAGAAAAGAUUUUUCCUCUGAUAGAAGAGCAAAUGUCUCCUCAUCUGAUUGAAACUGCGACAAAAGGAGGAAUGAACUGCAAGAACAUUAAUCGUGUAGAAAUUACAUGGAUUGACACAAUUAAAAGUGCAAACAAAUUGUCUCCCUGAAACAUAUGUAUAUAUUACUAUAAAAAAUAAAAAUUAAAUCGUCCUGCAAGUCAGCACGUUCCCGUAGUUUCCCGAAGAAUAGUGGGCAGACACAAAAGUGCCCCCGAGCAGCUGGUUCGGCCAAAAUACAGGGUGUUGGAAAUAAACUGCCGCUGCUUCACUUAUAUUUAAGGAUGAUUAGGCACCAUUUAAUAUUAGGGAUUUAGAAAUGAAAAUUAGGAAAAUGAUCACUGAGGCAAUACAAGAACAAGUUAGAAAUCCUAGGAAUCAGGUGAUUGACAGGAGAACGUAGUACCAGGAGGAAAUCUGUUGAGCGAAUUUUGAACAUUUAAAAAUAUUUAAGGGGAACAACCAAAUACUUUGAAAUCCUUAGUGUAAUAAGGAAUAAAAUUGUUGGCAGAUGUCAUAUUAGAAUCGUAAAAUACACCCUUGAAUUGGGAAAGAAUUUUGUAGCAUAAAACAUGUAUCGCUUAUGCCGACAGAAUAUUGAAAAAGCAAUUAAAAAUAAUAUCAUAUUACAAAGUCGAUUAAACAGUCAAUACUUUAAAUAUUUUACUGAUCGUGGCUUUGUUUGUAUGUAUUUCUUGCGUUCAAUGUACUGUCCAAUUGUUACACAAUCCACUUUAUGAAUAAUGCUGUGUAAGCAAUUAAUUACUAUAUAAUCUAAGAACUUUUUCAAUAAAGACACACUUCGCUUAACACAAGGGAGCUGUAACUUAGCUCUUGCGAAGAAAUAAAA